rnacentral:rRNA from 1 species
UACGUAGGGUGCGAGCGUUGUCCGGAAUUAUUGGGCGUAAAGAGCUCGUAGGCGGUUCGUCGCGUCGAAUGUGAAAUCCCGGGGCUCAACUCCGGGUCUGCAUUCGAUACGGGUGGACUAGAGUCCGGAAGGGGCGAGUGGAAUUCCCGGUGUAGCGGUGAAAUGCGUAGAUAUCGUUUGGAACGCCGAUGGUGAAAACAGGUUGCUGGGAGUGUGCUGACGCUGAGACACGAAAGCCAGGGGAGCAAACGGG